rnacentral:rRNA from 1 species
UAAGGAAUAUUGGUCAAUGGGCGCAAGCCUGAACCAGCCAUGCCGCGUGCAGGAAGACGGCCUUAUGGGUUGUAAACUGCUUUUAAUCAGGAAUAAACCCCGGUUCGUGAGCCGGGUUGAAGGUACUGGUUGAAUAAGCACCGGCUAACUCCGUGCCAGCAGCCGCGGUAAUACGGAGGGUGCAAGCGUUAUCCGGAUUUAUUGGGUUUAAAGGGUGCGCAGGCGGGCUGAUCAGUCAGUGGUGAAACCCCGGGGCUCAACUCCGGAGCUGCCAUUGAUACUGUCAGUCUUGAAUUCGGUUGAAGUGGGCGGAAUGUGUCAUGUAGCGGUGAAAUGCAUAGAUAUGACACAGAACACCGAUCGCGAAGGCAGCUCACUAAGCCGACAUUGACGCUCAUGCACGAAAGCGUGGGGAGCGAACAGG